GAGGCGUCAAAUCCUAACAACCACCUGAGCCCAGGCCGAGCCCUGAUGUUCAUUUUGUAUCGAAGCCUGAGGUAGGACCUUUAGUUAGUGCACCCCCAUCUACGAGCCAUGCCGUGCCAUCAUCACUUAGAUUGGGGGAGGACGAGAUGGGAUUGCUAGCUGAGAGGGUAGCAGGCAUUCUUUUCUAGUAGCAGUAGUUCCAGGAGUAGGUCUUUCAGCAGCUUCAACAGUUUCAGCAGCAGAUCCUUUAGCAGAUACAGCAGCAGCAGUAUCACCCUCCUCAAUCGAGCUCAUUCUCUGCUUCCUCAUCAAAUCUCUCAGUUGUGCC
rnacentral:lncRNA from 1 species